rnacentral:rRNA from 1 species
CUUAACUUUGAGGAACGUGAUAGCUUGCGGGUCGACCAAACAUUUGACGUCUUUGUCAACAUCCAACCUCUGUUUGUCAAUAAAUAUACCCAAACUUCCUGGGAAAACGCCCUUGUCCAGUACGAGAAACACGUAUCUCCCAUUGAGCGCACAGUAGCUCAAAAACUAUCCAAGAAUAUAAAGGCAAUGAUGAGGAGUAAAUCUGUCAACCCCCAAGUUCUGCUGUCCGAGCUCGUUCGUUACAAACAUUUGGUGAUGCGACCAGAAAUCAAGAAGAUCCUUGUCACGGAACGGGAAACCGUGCUUUCGAGCAUUACUUCGUAUGUUUCGCAGCUCGACGGUGAAUUUGAAUCA